AGAGUUUGAUCCUGGCUCAGGAUGAACGCUGGCGGCGUGCUUAACACAUGCAAGUCGAACGAGGUCCAACCUUCGGGUGAAGACCGAGUGGCGAACGGGUGAGUAACACGUGGGGAACCUGCCCUUCUCUCUGGGAUAACCUCGGGAAACCGAAGCUAAUACCGGAUACUCCUUGCGGACCGCAUGGUCUGCUCAGGAAAGCUCCGGCGGAGAAGGAUGGCCCCGCGGCCCAUUAGCUUGUUGGUGGGGUAACGGCCCACCAAGGCGACGAUGGGUAGCCGAGCUGAGAGGCUGAUCGGCCACACUGGGACUGAGACACGGCCCAGACUCCUACGGGAGGCAGCAGUGGGGAAUCUUGCGCAAUGGGCGAAAGCCUGACGCAGCAACGCCGCGUGCGGGAUGAAGGCUCUCGGGUCGUAAACCGCUUUCAGCAGGGAUGAAAAUGACAGUACCUGCAGAAGAAGCCCCGGCUAAAUACGUGCCAGCAGCCGCGGUAAUACGUAUGGGGCAAGCGUUAUCCGGAUUCAUUGGGCGUAAAGCGCGCGUAGGCGGCUUGUUAAGUCAGGCGUGAAAUCCGGGGGCUCAACCCGCGGCUUGCGUCUGAAACUGGCAGGCUUGAGUCCGGUAGAGGAAAGUGGAAUUCCUGGUGUAGCGGUGAAAUGCGCAGAUAUCAGGAGGAACACCAGUGGCGAAGGCGGCUUUCUGGGCCACGACUGACGCUGAGGCGCGAAAGCUAGGGGAGCGAACAGGAUUAGAUACCCUGGUAGUC
rnacentral:rRNA from 1 species